rnacentral:lncRNA from 1 species
CUUUGGUGGACAUGCCCAAGGAUUAAGGUUUUCUGGGAGAUGAUUUAUAAUGAAUUAAAAAAGGUAUUUAAAUAUACCUUCUUGAAGAAACCAGAGGCCUUUCUCCUGGGCAUAGUCGACCAAUCAGUGUUAAAGAAGGACAGAACUUUCUUUAUGUAUGCUACAACAGCAGCAAGAAUACUUAUUGCAAAGCAUUGGAAGACACAAGAUCUACCCACACUGGAGGAAUGGCAGAUGAAAAUGAUGGACUAUAUGGAAUUGGCGGAAAUGACUGGCAGAAUC